rnacentral:rRNA from 1 species
GAUGAACGCUGGCGGCGUGCCUAAUACAUGCAAGUCGAGCGAACAGACGAGGCGCUUGCUCCUCUGACGUUAGCGGCGGACGGGUGAGUAACACGUGGAUACCCUACCUAUAAUACUGGGAUAACUUCGGGAAACCGGAGCUAAUACCGGAUAAUAUACUGAACCGCAUGGUUCAAUAGUGAAAGACGGUUUUGCUGUCACUUAUAGAUGGAUCCGCGCCGCAUUAGCUAGUUGUUAAGGUAACGGCUUACCAAGGCAACGAUGCGUAGCCGACCUGUGAGGGUGAUCGGCCACACUGGAACUGAGACACGGUCAAGACUCCUACGGGAGGCAGCAGUAGGGAAUCUUCCGCAAUGGGCGAAAGCCUGACGGAGCAACGCCACGUGAGUGAUGAAGGUCUUCGGAUCGUAAAACUCUGUUAUUAGGGAAGAACAAAUGUGUAAGUAACUGUGCACGUCUUGACGGUACCUAAUCAGAAAGCCACGGCUAACUACGUG